rnacentral:rRNA from 1 species
CCCUUAGAUGUUCUGGGCUGCACGCGUGCUACACUGAUUAUUUCAACAAGUGUUUUAACUGGAGAGUUUGCGUAAUCCUGAAAUGUUAUCGUGAUGGGAGUAGAGUAUUGUAUUUGUUAAUCUUUAACGAGGAAUUCCUAGUAAGUGUAGGUUUAUAAGUUGUUCUGAUUACGUCCCUGCCCUUUGUACACACCGCCCGUCGCUCCUACCGAUUGAUUGAUCCGGAGAAUUACAUAGAAUUUUGCGUUUUACAUGACGGAAGACGAAGUGUUUUAAACCUUAUCAUUUAGAGGAAGGAGAAGUCGUAACA